rnacentral:rRNA from 1 species
AGAGUUUGAUCCUGGCUCAGAACGAACGCUGGCGGCAGGCUUAACACAUGCAAGUCGAACGGGUGUAGCAAUACAUCAGUGGCAGACGGGUGAGUAACACGUGGGAACCUUCCUCGUUGUACGGAACAACUCAGGGAAACUUGAGCUAAUACCGUAUACGUCCGAGAGGAGAAAGAUUUAUCGCAAUGAGACGGGCCCGCGUCGGAUUAGCUAGUUGGUGGGGUAACGGCCUACCAAGGCGACGAUCCGUAGCUGAUCUGAGAGGAUGAUCAGCCACACUGGGACUGAGACACGGCCCAGACUCCUACGGGAGGCAGCAGUGGGGAAUCUUGGACAAUGGGCGCAAGCCUGAUCCAGCCAUGCCGCGUGAGUGAAGAAGGCCUUCGGGUUGUAAAGCUCUUUUGUCAGGGACGAUAAUGACGGUACCUGAAGAAUAAGCCCCGGCAAACUUCGUGCCAGCAGCCGCGGUAAU